UCCAAAUUUGCAAGAUGGCAGCCUCCACAAGCGGGAUAUUUUGGCUUCAUUUUUGCACAAUGGUAGGAGGCGGAGUCGCGUCGUCCAUGUUUUCUACAGUCAAUGAUCAGGACCGUUAGGAAGAUCAAAAUUAUUUAUCUAAACAAAGCGAACAGUAAUUUAAGCCGUAGGAUAUUUCCAGGUACUGUGAGAGGAGGCUUUGGAACCGAACCAGAGAACUGCUGUCACGGCAUGGACGAGUUUGACGAUGCCAUACUGUCUGCGUUGCAGGCUGCGAAUAUUGACGAGGAAGCUUUGAGAAGCUUUACCCGGGAUGACCUAAAGGAUCUUUUUCCGGGCCAUGAAAAUUUCUUCCGGAGAAAGAAGAUUUGGGGUUUUAUCAGCCAAAAGGUAAAUACACAUUAUACCACUAAGAAGAUGAUUACUGUUGUGGAAUUACAGGGAUUAUUUUA